rnacentral:rRNA from 1 species
AUUGAACGCUGGCGGCAUGCUUUACACAUGCAAGUCGAACGGCAGCGCGGGCUUCGGCCUCGCGGUGAGUGGCGAACGGGUGAGUAAUGCAUCGGAGCGUGCCCAGUAGUGGGGGAUAGGCCGGGGAUAGGCGGCUGAAUACCGCAUACGACCUGAGGGUGAAAGGGGGGGAGCGAAAGGCCACGGGCUAUUGGAGCGGCCGAUGGCCGGGUAGCUAGUUGGUGGGGUAAAGGCGUACGAAGGCGACGAUCCGUAGCUGGGUUGGGAGGAUGACCAGCCACCUUGGGACUGAGACGCACCCAAGACUCCUAAGGGAGGCCGCAGUGGCGUAUUGGAGGCAACGGGGGCAAAUCUGAUCCAGCCAUGCCAAGUGCGGGAAGAAGGCCCUCGGAUUGUGAACCCCGUUUGUUCGGGAAGAACUCCUCUGGGCUAAUACGACGCGAGGGUGACGGUACCGGAAGAAUAAGCACCGGCUAACUACGUG